AUGUAACUACGUGGUAUGACUGUUAACCGGAAAUUCAAAAAGUAAAGAAUUGAAUAAUUUGCAUUAUAGGUAAUUAUAUAGAUGUUAUAUGAAUUUCUGUGUUAAGGUUCACUGAGAAAAUGUAAUCCUACAGAUUCUAUAUGUCUUUCUCGAUCAGGGUUAACCGAGAAAGAUAAUGUAACAAAAUGGUAUGACCGUUAACCGGAAAUUCAAAAUGAAAAAAAUUUUACAAUUUGCCUCAUAGGUAAUUACACAGAUUUUAUAUUGCUUUCUCGUCCAAGGUGAACCGAGGAAAACAGUGUAACAACACGGUAUCACCGUUAACCUGAAAUUAAAAAUGAAAAAAAUUUUACAAUUUGCAUUAUAGAUAAUUAUGCGGGUAUUACAUGGAUUUCCCGGUAACGGAGAAACGAGAAAAGCUGUAUAACACCGUGAUUUCUCUCAUAUCGUUAACCGGGAAGAACUGUGUAAAAUUCCGUAUGAUCGUUAACUCCGAAUUGAAAAUAAAAAAAAUUUUCUCGCUUCAUUCUAUGUAAUUAUACAGAUUUAAAUGAAUUUUUCGGAUAAGGUUAACCAAGGAAAAUUUUGUAACAACGUGAUAUGAUCGUUGACUAGAAAUUCAUAACGAAAAAAAUUUACAAUCUGCA